rnacentral:rRNA from 1 species
GAAUUCGCCCUUAGAGUUCCUUUCUGGCUCAGGAUGAACGCUGGCGGCGUGCUUAACACAUGCAAGUCGAGCGAGAAAAGUUCUUCGGAACUUUUCUAGCGGCGGACGGGUGAGUAACACGUGGGCAACCUGCCUCAUAGAGGGGAAUAGCCUUCCGAAAGGGAGAUUAAUACCGCAUAACAUUAUUGAAAGGCAUCUUUUAAUAAUCAAAGGAGCAAUCCGCUAUGAGAUGGGCCCGCGGCGCAUUAGCUAGUUGGUGAGGUAACGGCUCACCAAGGCGACGAUGCGUAGCCGACCUGAGAAGGGUGAUCGGCCACAUUAGAACUGAGACACGGUCCAGACUCCUACGGGAGGCAGCAGUGGGGAAUAUUGCACAAUGGGGGAAACCCUGAUGCAGCAACGCCGCGUGAGUGAUGAAGGUCUUCGGAUUGUAAAGCUCUGUCUUUAGGGACGAUAAUGACGGUACCUAAGGAGGAAGCCACGGCUAACUACGUGCCAGCAGCCGCGGUAAUACGUAGGUGGCAAGCGUUAUCCGGAUUUACUGGGCGUAAAGGGAGCGUAGGCGGAUACUUAAGUGGGAUGUGAAAUACCCGAGCUUAACUUGGGAGCUGCAUUCCAAACUGGGUAUCUAGAGUGCAGGAGAGGAGAAUGGAAUUCCUAGUGUAGCGGUGAAAUGCGUAGAGAUUAGGAAGAACACCAGUGGCGAAGGCGAUUCUCUGGACUGUAACUGACGCUGAGGCUCGAAAGCGUGGGGAGCAAACAGGAUUAGAUACCCUGGUAGUCCACGCCGUAAACGAUGA